AUAGCCUCCUGAGUCCUACAUCUUCACUCUUCACCCAAAAUCAGGGCUCAGGCUAUUAUUGAAGUCCUCCUAUGAGCAGAUCUGGACAUGUCAUGCCCAAUGUGGGGCAUGAAGCAGUUUGACUGAUGUGAAGAGUGUGAGUUUGGGUGGGGAAUCCCCAGUAGCCAGAAACAAGAUGAAGAAGGAAUCUUAUGGGUGCUGACAUACAUAACCACCUUGUCCAUUGGAGAGAGAUGGAAAAACAGAAGACCCAGGAAAUAUCAUGUGGUUCCAUCUUUGACUAUGGCCACUACUUUAAAAAUUACAUCUUGAAAAAUGCCAAGCUGGAUGAAUUAAAACCAGAAUUAAGGUUUCCCAGAGAAACAUGAACAAUCUUAGAUAUUCAGAUAUCAUUCUGAUGGCAGAAAAUGAAGAUGAUUUAAGAAAACUUUUGAUCAAGGUGAAAGAGAAAGUGCAAAAUCUAUCUUGAAGAUUAACAUUAAAAAAACAAGAUCUUAGUGAAUGAUCCCAUAACUUCUUGGAAAA